rnacentral:rRNA from 1 species
GAUGAACGCUGGCGGCGUGCCUAAUACAUGCAAGUCGAGCGAACGGACGAGAAGCUUGCUUCUCUGAUGUUAGCGGCGGACGUGUGAGUAACACGUGGAUAACCUACCUAUAAGACUGGGAUAACUUCGGGAAACCGGAGCUAAUACCGGAUGAUAUUUUGAACCGCAUGGUUCAAAAGUGAAAGACGGUCUUGCUGUCACUUAUAGAUGGAUCCGCGCUGCAUUAGCUAGUUGGUAAGGUAACGGCUUACCAAGGCAACUAUGCAUAGCCGACCUGAGAGGGUGAUCGGCCACACGGGAACUGAGACACGGUCCAGACUCCUACGGGAGGCAGCAGUAGGGAAUCUUCCGCAAUGGGCGAAAGCCUGACGGAGCAACGCCGCGUGAGUGAUGACGGUCUUCGGAUCGUAAAACUCUGUUAUUAGGGAAGAACAUAUGUGUAAGUAACUGUGCACAUCUUGACGGUACCUAAUCAGAAAGCCACGGCUAACUACGUG